GAUCCUGGCUCAGGAUGAACGCUAGCUACAGGCUUAACACAUGCAAGUCGAGGGGCAGCAUGGUCUUAGCUUGCUAAGACUGAUGGCGACCGGCGCACGGGUGAGUAACGCGUAUCCAACCUUCCCCUUAGUAGGGCAUAGCCCGGCGAAAGUCGGAUUAAUACCCUAUGUUGUCAAUAGAGGACAUCUGAAGCUGACCAAAGGUUUACCGCUAAGGGAUGGGGAUGCGUCUGAUUAGGUUGCAGGCGGGUAACGGCCCACCUGGCCGACGAUCAGUAGGGGUUCUGAGAGGAAGGUCCCCCACACUGGUACUGAGACACGGACCAGACUCCUACGGGAGGCAGCAGUGAGGAAUAUUGGUCAAUGGGCGAGAGCCUGAACCAGCCAAGUAGCGUGCAGGAUGACGGCCCUAUGGGUUGUAAACUGCUUUUAUAUAGGGAUAAAGUUCACCACGUGUGGUGUUUUGUAGGUACUAUAUGAAUAAGGACCGGCUAAUUCCGUGCC
rnacentral:rRNA from 1 species